rnacentral:rRNA from 1 species
CUGGCGGCAGUAGCGCGGUGGUCCCACCUGCCCCAUGCCGAACUCAGAAGUGAAACGCCGUAGCGCCGAUGGUAGUGUAGGGUCUCCCCAUGCGAGAGUAGGGAACUGCCAGACAU